UACGUAGGGGUCGAGCGUUGUCCGGAGUUACUGGGCGUAAAGCGUGCGCAGGCGGCUCAUUGCGCCCGGCGUGAAAGCCCCCGGCUCAACCGGGGAGGGUCGUCGGGUACGGGUGAGCUUGAGGGUAUCAGGGGCUGGUGGAAUUCCCGGUGUAGUGGUGAAAUGCGUAGAGAUCGGGAGGAACACCCGUGGCGAAAGCGGCUCACUGGACCACAACUGACGCUGAGGCACGAAAGCUAGGGGAGCAAACAGG
rnacentral:rRNA from 1 species